GCAGCCGCGGUAAUACGGAGGAUGCGAGCGUUAUCCGGAUUUAUUGGGUUUAAAGGGAGCGUAGACGGGAUGUUAAGUCAGUUGUGAAAGGCUGCGGCUCAACCGCAGCACUGCAGUUGAUACUGGCGUCCUUGAGUGCGGUUGAGGUAUGUGGAAUUCGUGGUGUAGCGGUGAAAUGCUUAGAUAUCACGAAGAACUCCUAUUGCGAAGGCAGCAUACUAAGCCGCUACUGACGUUGAGGCUCGAAAGUGUGGGUAUCAAACAGGAUUAGAUACCCC
rnacentral:rRNA from 1 species